rnacentral:rRNA from 1 species
GUAGAGUAUAAUUCGACCGCCCGAUUCGUAACUUGUGGGGCUCCCCCGCCAAUUCCUUUAAGUUUCAUACUUGCUGCCGGACUUCCCAGGUUAAGUUCUUAACCUGGUCACUGCAGUCGUGCAUUGGAAACUUGCCAAAAUUGGACUGAGAUUGCUGAGUUUACAGCAGGGACUACCCGGGUGGAAAUCC